GCCUACACAUGGCAGUCGAACGGUAACAUUUCUAGCUUGCUAGAAGAUGACGAGUGGCGGACGGGUGAGUAAUGCUUGGGAACUUGCCUUUGCGAGGGGGAUAACAGUUGGAAACGACUGCUAAUACCGCAUAAUGUCUUCGGACCAACCGGGGCUUAGGCUCCGGCGCAAAGAGAGGCCCAAGUGAGAUUAGCUAGUUGGUAAGGUAACGGCUUACCAAGGCGACGAUCUCUAGCUGUUCUGAGAGGAAGAUCAGCCACACUGGGACUGAGACACGGCCCAGACUCCUACGGGAGGCAGCAGUGGGGAAUAUUGCACAAUGGGGGAAACCCUGAUGCAGCCAUGCCGCGUGUGUGAAGAAGGCCUUCGGGUUGUAAAGCACUUUCAGUUGUGAGGAGAAGUUAGUAGUUAAUACCUGCUAGCCGUGACGUUAACAACAGAAGAAGCACCGGCUAACUCCGUGCCAGCAGCCGCGGUAAUACGGAGGGUGCGAGCGUUAAUCGGAAUUACUGGGCGUAAAGCGCACGCAGGCGGUUUGUUAAGCUAGAUGUGAAAGCCCCGGGCUCAACCUGGGAUGGUCGUUUAGAACUGGCAGACUAGAGUCUUGGAGAGGGGAGUGGAAUUCCAGGUGUAGCGGUGAAAUGCGUAGAUAUCUGGAGGAACAUCAGUGGCGAAGGCGACUCCCUGGCCAAAGACUGACGCUCAUGUGCGAAAGUGUGGGUAGCGAACAGGAUUAGAUACCCUGGUAGUCCACACCGUANACGCUGUCUACUAGCUGUGUGUGUCUUUAAGACGUGCGUAGCGAAGCUAACGCGCUAAGUAGACCGCCUGGGGAGUACGGCCGCAAGGUUAAAACUCAAACGAAUUGACGGGGGCCCGCACAAGCGGUGGAGCAUGUGGUUUAAUUCGAUGCAACGCGAAGAACCUUACCUACACUUG
rnacentral:rRNA from 1 species